GAUGAACGCUGGCGGCGUGCCUAAUACAUGCAAGUCGAGCGAACAGACGAGGAGCUUGCUCCUCUGACGUUAGCAGCGGACGGGUGAGUAACACGUGGAUAGCCUACCUAUAAGACUGGGAUAACUUCGGGAAACCGGAACUAAUACCGGAUAAUAUAUUGAACCGCAUGGUUCAAUAGUGAAAGACGGUUUUGCUGUCACUUAUAGAUGGAUCCGCGCCGCAUUAGCUAGUUGGUAAGGUAACGGCUUACCAAGGCAACGAUGCGUAGCCGACCUGAGAGGGUGAUCGGCCACACUGGAACUGAGACACGGUCCAGACUCCUACGGGAGGCAGCAGUAGGGAAUCUUCCGCAAUGGGCGAAAGCCUGACGGAGCAACGCCGCGUGAGUGAUGAAGGUCUUCGGAUCGUAAAACUCUGUUAUUAGGGAAGAACAAAUGUGUAAGUAACUAUGCACGUCUUGACGGUACCUAAUCAGAAAGCCACGGCUAACUACGUG
rnacentral:rRNA from 1 species